rnacentral:tRNA from 1 species
UGUAUAGUAACUCAAUUGGAUAGAGCAUUGGUUAUAACCAAUGGGUUGCGGGUUCGAGUCCCGCCUAUACAG